AGCGAACGCUGGCGGCAGGCUUAACACAUGCAAGUCGAGCGGGCACUUUCGGGUGUCAGCGGCGGACGGGUGAGUAACGCGUGGGAACGUGCCCUCUGGUUCGGAAUAACUCAGUGAAACUUGAGCUAAUACCGGAUACGCCCUUUUGGGGAAAGGCUUGCUGCCGGAGGAUCGGCCCGCGUCUGAUUAGCUAGUUGGUUAGGUAACGGCUCACCAAGGCGACGAUCAGUAGCUGGUCUGAGAGGAUGAUCAGCCACACUGGGACUGAGACACGGCCCAGACUCCUACGGGAGGCAGGAGAGGGGAAUAUUGGACAAUGGGCGCAAGCCUGAUACAGCCAUGCCGCGUGAGUGAUGAAGGCCUUAGGGUUGUAAAGCUCUUUUAUCCGGGACGAUAAUGACGGUACCGGAGGAAUAAGCCCCGGCUAACUUCGUG
rnacentral:rRNA from 1 species